rnacentral:misc_RNA from 1 species
GGAAGGAUCAUUCCAAAUUCCGAGUGUGAAUGUGGAUCACUCCCUCACGGGGCGGUUCACGUUACCUUCACACCCACACUACACGUGUUCAAUGAUGACCGGGGAUCGUCUUGUGCGAUUCCUGUGCCAUCGAGGUUCUUUCUAUCUCUCGCAAGAGAGGUGGAUCUACCUCACCCACACCUCCUUUGUACGUUUCCAUUGUUGUGUGACCCAACAAAUACAAAUGCCAAGACUUUUAGCAACGGAUACCUUGGCUCCCGCAACGAUGAAGAACGCAGCGAAACGCGAUAACUAGUGCGAAUUGCAGAGUUCAGUGAAUCAUCGAGAUUUUGAACGCAACUGGCGCCUUUGGGUUCUCCCAGGGGCACACCUCUUUCAGUAUCAACCCUAUCCCUACCCCUGACCCUGUCAGUGGGAAGAAGGUUGAUCGGUUACAUUUGGUAACAAGUGUAUCCAUCGAAGGUUGUUUUACCCCAGUACUUUACACAGCUUUUGAAAGAAGUUAGAAUACAACAUGCUUUCUUCGGAUGUGUUAGAGUGCUGCUUUUCUUGGGCAUGAAUGCUCGCAUUCAUUCCAGGAGAAAUCAACUAUCCACUUGGAUCUGAAAUGAGGCGAGAUUACCCGCUGGAUUUAAGCAUAUAAUUAAGCGGAGGAAAAGAAACUAACCAGGAUUGCCUUAGUAACUGCGAGUGAAGCGGCAACAGCUCAAGCCUAGAAUCCUUUUCGAUUUUCGAGACGGAAUUGUGGUCUAGAGAGUCCAUGGCCAGCGUGUGGCCCCGGCCUAAAUCUGCUGGAAAGCAGUGGCAGAGAGGGUGACACCCCCGUCCGCAGCCGGGAGUCCGCCGCGUACGGCCGGGAUUCCAAGAGUCGGGUUGCUUGGGAGUGCAGCCUGAAGCGGGUGGUAAAUUCCAUCCAAAGCUAAAUACCUGCGGGAGACCGAUAGCGCACAAGUACCGUGAGGGAAAGGUGAAAAGGACUUUGAAAAGAGAGUCAAAAGUACUUGAAAUUGCUAAAAGCAAGCGAUAGAGACUAGUGCCUCGGUUAUGGAGGGUCUCUGUUGGGUAGCGGUGGAGAGGGUAGUGGGCUCGCAUGUUCACGUCUCUCGAAACUGUCUCCCAGCUCCGAGUCCUCCAUGCGGGUCACCUGGAAUUGGGUCCGUGAGUGAAGGGGUGAGCGGAGGUAGGUGCGAGAGCGACUACGCAAUCCCCGAAUACGUUCGCCUUCUAUCAUGGACCUGAUUCACUCUGGUGACGAAAUAGUCUCUAUCGGCCCGUCUUGAAACACGGACCAAGGAGUCUAGCGUAUAUGCGAGUGUUUGGGUGGAUAAACCCGAGCGCGGAAUGAAAGUGAAGGUGUGCUUCGGCGCACUGAGAUGCCAACCCGCAAGGGCGCAGCAUCGCCCGGCCUGUCCAUUAGUGUUAGGUCCGAGGCCGAGCGUAUCCGUUAGGACCCGAAAGAUGGUGAACUAUACCUGAGCAGGGUGAAGCCAGGGGAAACUCUGGUGGAAGCUCGUAGCGAUACUGACGUGCAAAUCGUUCGUCGGACUUGGGUAUAGGGGCGAAAGACUAAUCGAACCAUCUAGUAGCUGGUUCCCUC